UUCUCAUCGCUGUUUUCAACAUAAAACACUUCUGAAAUCACUCAAAGCAUAAAACAGUUUUCCCUUUGACAAAAACCUUCCAUGGGUGCUUUAGGGAAAUGGCUGAAAUCACUGAUUGGUCUCAAGAAGAUGCAAUCAAGGCACCAAGAAAAUGUUGGCAGUAGUGGUAAGGGUCGAAAGUGGAGGCUAUGGAGGAGUGACAAAGGAGGUCACGUGAUUGUGUCUGAUUUGUCGGGUUGAUGAUGUGUUCAGUGCAGCUGUGGCGAUUGUGGUUAGAGCUACGACCAAAGAUUUCAUGGUGGUCACGCAAGGGUGGGCUGAGAUCAGGAUCCAGACCAUGUUUCGGGCUUUUUUGGCAAGACAGGCUUUGAGGUCAUUGAAAGCAGUAGUGAGGGUACAAGCGAUUUUCCGAGGCAGGCAGGUCAGGAAGCAAGCUGCUGUAACACUAAGGCGUAUGUAAGCUCUUGUUCGAGCUCAGGCUCGUGUUAGGGCCUCUUGUGUAUCUGCACAGUAAAGGACGAACAAAGCAAUGACAAAGGGAAAAGCAUGAUUAUUAUGUAAAUACAGGUUGAGCUCAGGUUCGUAUGCAAGCUCUUGUUCCUUCCCCCACCCUAUCGAUUUCCCUCCUCUACUGUAGGACCACCCUCCAGCUUCGCCCUCCCUCCUCCCUCUCUCCACUUUGUCAUUUCCCUUUCCUCCCUCCACCCUCGUUGCCGCAGCCCUUCCAUACCCCAGUCGCUUCCCCCUUCCUCCUCCCCAGCUCUGUCGCAGCUCCCUCUCCCCUUCCCCGGCCCUGUGCAUCUCCCUCUCCCCUCCCCCACCCUGUUGCUACCCC